AAUCCUUUAACGAGGAACUAUUGGAGGGCAAGUCUGGUGCCAGCAGCCGCGGUAAUUCCAGCUCCAAUAGCGUAUAUUAAAGUUGUUGCGUCUAAAAAGCUCGUAGUUUGAAAACUUGCCUUGGCUUACAACAGACGUCUAAGGGCGUCACCGUUUGUCGAGAGCAAAUAUGGGUGACUGUUCUUGCCUUCUUCACUGAUUGGCUCGUAAAAGUCAUCGAAGAUCACUUUGAUUAAAUUAGGGUGCUCAAAGCAAGUGUGCUACUUGAAUAUGAAUGCAUGGAAUGAUGGAAUAUGUUGUUGUUCUAUUUGUUGGUUUUUUGAAUGACGAAAUGAUUGAAAGGAACUGUUGGGGGCAUUCGUAUUGUUGUGAGAGAGGUGAAAUUCUUAGACCAUAGCAAGACGAACUACUGCGAAAGCAUUUGCCAAGAAUGUUUUCAUUGAUCAAGAACGAAAGUUAGAGGUUCGAAGGCGAUCAGAUACCGCCCUAGUUCUAACCAUAAACUAUGCCGACUAGCAAUUUGCUUUGUAUUUUUAUGACUAAGUGAGAGGCCACGGGAAACCAAAGUAGGGUUAUGGGGGAAGUAUGGUUGCAAAGCUGAAACUUAAAGGAAUUGACGGAAGGGCACCACCAGGAGUGGAGCCUGCGGCUUAAUUUGACCCAACACGGGAAAACUUACCUGGUCCUGACACUAGAAGGAUUGACAGAUUGAUAGCUCUUUCUUGAUUUGGUGGAUGGGUUGCAUGGCCGUUCUUAGUUGGUGGAGUGAUUUGUCUGGUUAAUUCCGAUAACGAACGAGACUCUAGCCUAUUAAAUAAUAUGCGGAAUCAAUUUCUCCCGCGUUAUUUCUUAAUGGGAUCAAGCGUGUUUAACGCUUUGAAACAGAGCAAUAACAGGUCUGUGAUGCCCUUAGAUGUUCGGGGCUGCACGCGCGCUACAUUGAAGAACAAAGUGAGCCCUCUGGCUUUUAACAAAGCUAGAAAUCUUUUAAUGUUCUUCUUAAUGGGGAUAGGGGAUUGCAAUUGUGCCCCUUGAACGAGGAAUUCCCAGUAAGUGCUAGUCAUUAGCUAGUACUGAUUACGUCCCUGCCCUUUGUACACACCGCCCGUCGCUACUACCGAUUGAAUAGUUUAGUGAGAUCAUCUGAGUGUUUGUAUGUGCAUUCUGUGCUUGUAUGGUGUACGAAGAAGAUCAAACUUGAUUAUUUAGAGGAAGUAAAAGUC
rnacentral:rRNA from 1 species